rnacentral:ncRNA from 1 species
UCCAAAGAGGACGAUUUGACUGAUUGCAACCUCUCGAAAAAAGUGCUAAAAUGUAUGCC